GAGAGUUAUGAAAUUUCUCCCAAACUACUCAAAGUUAAGAAAACUGUUAGAAGGACAGUUUUGAACAGCCACUUCCAGGCUAAUUUCUGGGAGCUUAACAUGUCCAAAUAUGGAUUGUGAUAAAUGAAAACUGUAUUUCGGAAAGAUAGGAAUCCAACAAAAUUGACGGAUCAUUAAUCGGAGUUAUAGAUUUCAUUUUAUUUAAGUUUUGGUAAAGGACUCCAAAACUGCAUAUGUGCAAAAGUAAACUGCCAAAAAUUUUCCGGAGGCUGUUUCGGUAAUUUAUUUUGUGAGAAAAAUUCCGGGCUUUCGGGAAAUGAAAAUAUGUGGUAUUAUGUAGCUCGUGUCCAAAAAUGAGCUAAUUCCGAGUUAAAACGGCCAAGUUAUGACUAUUCUAAUUUUUGUGAUUUUCCGACGGAAAUCGCUAUAACCAGAGUUCUACAACUCCGAUUGCCACGAAAUUUAAAAUGGAGCAUCAUGUUAACAUAUAUAAGGUUAUGUCAAAAUAUGGGCAUCUUUGGAGUUAAGCACGAGGUAGCUAAUUUUCUUAAGUAACGCACUAUUUAUGAUUUUUGAAAAAUAGUAAAAGAAAUUGAAAAAUUAUGGAAAAAUAUUUUUUAUGUAUGAAAUACAUGUAUAUAUGUUUGACCAAAGGAUAAAAAAAUAAUAAGUUGAUUUGGUAUUUUUCGUGAAAAAGAAUAGUGAUUUCGG
rnacentral:lncRNA from 1 species